UCGCUAUAUCUUUAUAUGUCUCUAUGUCGCUAUAUCUCUCAAAAUCUCUCUCCUCACAAAAAACCCACAAAGAUAGGAUGUGUUUGAAUGACUUUUAAGCAUUCUGGGACUUUGUAAUUUAGAUCAAACAGGUGUUUAGGCUACUCGGGUAAUUGGCUCGCGCAGCAAGUGUGCCACCUGUCCAAACCAAAUUGAAACACCACGAAGCCUCACUAAGCCAUGGUCACGUGACAUGGGUGUUUUGAACCACACUUCGAAACACUGUUCGAAACACUUGCGUUUCGGAAGCUCGACACUGUUUCGAAACGUCAGCUUCGAGCGUCACAUCCCUAUUGCUAAGGAGUUGCGGCUCCUG